GUGGGGCCCGCCGCUCUGCCGCCGCCGCUGUUGCAGCUGCCGCCGUUGCCGCCUCCCUACCGGCAAGUGUGAGAAGAAGCUGAGCGUUGUCGCCAUCGCUAUGGGGAGAAAGUCAAGCAAAGCCAAGGAGAAGAAGCAGAAGCGGUUGGAGGAGCGAGCAGCCAUGGAUGCCGUUUGUGCCAAAGUGGACGCUGCCAACAGGCUUGGAGACCCUCUGGAGGCUUUCCCAGUGUUCAAGAAAUAUGAUAGAAACGGGUUGAAUGUCUCCAUUGAAUGUAAGCGAGUGUCUGGACUGGAGCCAGCCACCGUGGAUUGGGCCUUCGACCUGACCAAAACGAAUAUGCAAACCAUGUAAGCGUGUCCCGACCAGGGGAGCUUAGUUCCUCUCCCAGCUUUCCUGUCUGACUGCUCCCAAAUUCCCCAGGUAUGAGCAGAGCGAGUGGGGCUGGAAGGACCGAGAGAAACGGGAGGAAAUGACAGAUGACCGAGCCUGGUACCUCAUCGCGUGGGAAAACAGCUCCGUCCCUGUUGCCUUUUCUCACUUCCGGUUUGACGUGGAGUGUGGGGAUGAAGUCCUGUACUGGUAGGAGCCAUGGCUUGGGGGAGGUAGGGGAGAGAGACCCUGGUGAUGGUCCAG
rnacentral:sRNA from 1 species